rnacentral:tRNA from 1 species
UGGCUUCUAGCUCAAUUGGCAGAGCACCCGGCUGUUAACCGGGCGGUUCCAGGUUCGAGUCCCGGCCGGCCAG